GGGACUAGCAAACACAUGUCUCAGCAGGGAGGGCUGGGAGCAGGCAACCACACCUCCACACCAGCCCCACAUGAACCAGCUGCGUGAAAGGUCCUGGCUUGGCUCACUCGAGAGGUGGGACUGGGGCUCGGGCUGGUAGAGCAGCCAGCUGAGCACCACUUACACAGGAAGAUGAAGCAGGUGCCAUGCAGGUGAGGGGAGAUCUGGCAAUGCAGAGAGAAUACCCUCUCAAGGUGACUUCAGAGGUAUCCGGAAAGCAGCUGGUGGGAAGCGGAAGGCACCGAGCUGCUGAUGCCAUCGCACCCCAGCAGGCGAGGAAGAGCUGGGAAAACAAAAAACUUCCCCUUGCAGGGUGCUUUCCUCCCUCUAACAAGAUGCUAGGGCAAUGCUUUGAGGUCCUGGAGGCUAGACGGCAUUUGGGAUGCAGGAGCACUUCUUAAAAGCAUAUCUGGAGGGUGUCUGGGCUCCUGGCAGAAAGUGGGAAGUGUCCGGGAGUCCGUUUUUCGGAAUUGCUCUCCAAUGGCGCCAGUCUGCCUGUUUGCAACAUUUCACCCAGUUUUGCAAAUCUGACAGCCCUCUGGCCAGCGUUACGUGUUCUGCCACAAAGUUUUGCGAAACAUCCUCUGUCUCUUAUCGAAACAACAACAGGGUAGAGUUCUGCUUGUGGUAAAAGUUCACAACAUUGAACCAGAAAAAAAAAAGAAAAAAAAAAAAAGACAUUUUUGGGACAGAUCAUCACCCAACUUUUUAAUGAAGCUGCACUAAUUUGCACCGCAUGAGGAUAUUGUGCCUUGAUAGUAAUGCCGUUCUGCAGACUUCCCUGGUCCAGUACAGUGCUGACUUUCGGGAGAUGUCCCCCCUCACCAGACUCUGAUGGACUGAAGAGCUAAUGAUUUCCAUUCUGUCUUGCUGUGGCCAUCAGGGCGCUGCUGCAUUCCUAAUGACUAGCCAACUCUUAAUGGCUCAGCCUGAGCUCUCCUCCUUACAGACCUCCCUGUGGUUUUUUUUUAACCAUCUCUCAACUGCGAGACUGAUUUCUUCAACAUGUGUUUGCACACAUUGUCAGAUGUCCCCCUAAACAUUGGUUGACAUAAAUGUGAACACGGUAAGCUGUAAACACCCAUGUCCCAGUUUCCUUUCCCCCUUGAUCUUAGCGGGAUCUGAGUUUCACUUCCAGUAGAAGUCAUGGUGAGAGGUGAAGAAAGGAGAAGACAACAGAGGUGAAGCUUGGCUGUUAUUCAUAGGGACAGCUCACAUGUGAGUUACGCACCAUCAGUGACAAAAUGUGCUCUUGAGACCAAUAUGCCGACUCCUUUAUCAUUCAACAAUUCUGACCUUCCUCGUUUUCCCCCUCCCACCCUGACCCCAUGCUGUGAUUUAUGUCUUUGCUCCAUUGCGUCAAUCUAUUUUUUGAGACAGGUUUGUACAGCUGAAACAGUUUAUUACAACCAGGAUUUAAUCUUCACCUUGUGUUUACAAAGUUCUCCUGAAAAAUAAUAAUAAUAAUAAUCAUGCUAAUAAACUUCAUAGCAAUUGGAAGGAUGUAGAGUUA
ensembl:lncRNA